AUUGUCAACCUGGAAUCAAGAAACCCUAAACUUGUGGCCUAGAAGUAUCUGGUGUUGCCUGGGUUUCCGGAGGAGCUUGUAGUUUGGAGACCCCAAAGUUUGUACUUGUUCCCUGAUCCCGUGAGAAUCCAGAGGGAUAGAGACAGACAAACAGAAAGACAGAUAGGCAGGCCGACUGGCAGGUGGGUAGUCAGAUAGGUAGCAGGGCAGAUAGACGGAUAUAGAGAUAGCACAUAGAGAGACACAUAGUCAGACAUAGACAGAGAGAUAGACAGGGGGAGAGACAGAUAGAUAGAGAGAUAAAUAGAUAGGAAGAUAGAAGAAAAAGACAUAGAAACACAAACAGACAGAAUGAGAGAUAGAGACAUUGAAAGAUUAGUAGAACAACAGAAUAUCAGAGAGUGAAACAAAGGGACAGACAGAGACAGAUAGAUGGAAGGACAGACUGAGGGAAGGUGGAACUGAGUGAUAGACAGAGAGACACAGAAAUUCAGACAGAUGGAUAGUCAGACAGACAGGGAUAGACAGAUAGCAAUACAGAUAGAUAGAUACAGCUAGAUUAAUAGAUUAAUAUAUAGACAGAAUUAGAGAAAAACAGAUUGAGAGACACAGAAUGAUGGAUCGAUAGACAUACAGAAGAACUGACAGAUGGACUAGUUUCUCUGUCGUUUUGUCUAUCUUCCUGUCUUUUUUUUAUUUCUUUAUUCAGCACUUGUCUUUUUUAUUGCUUUUCAUUUUUUAUUCAGUCAUUUUAGCCCAUUAUUCCUCCUCGGUGACAAGAAUCAUAUUCUUUCCACCCUUCCCCAAGCUGAGGGGCGAUUCCACUGGGUAUGACAUGUGUCCUUGAUGAGAACCUCUUUCCAUGUUGCUGAUGUUUUCACUAGGAUGUUCAUUUAGAGUCUAUAUCCCCAGCUUUAACCCCCUGGACCCUUGUAAUCUAGCAGUUGUUUUUCUUGGAUGUUUCUACUCUCACAGUUUUCCUUGUGAAUGUGGAUAAUGUUCUUUCUCAUAGAUAUGGGUAUAGAAUGACAUUAAUGUAGUAUUCUAUUCCAUUCCAUUGCAGCACAUUGUAUCCAUCUCUGUGUAUAAUGUUCUCCUUGUUCUGCUCCUCUCACUGCAUCCAUCCUGGAGGUCCUUUCAGUUCCCGUGGAAUUCCUCCGGUUAAUUAUUCCUUUGAGCACCUUAGUAUUCCAGCACCAGGAGAUACCAGUUUGUUCACCCAUUCCCCAAUGGAAGGGCAUCCCCUCCUUUUCCAAUUUUUGGCUACCCCAAAGAGCCCAGCUAUGAACAUUCUUGUCCAAGUCUUUUUUCUUAUUAUCUCUUUGGGUUACAAACCCUGCAGUGCCAUUGUUGGAUCAAAAGGUAGACAGUCUUUUAGCGCCCUUUGGGCAGAGUCCCAAAUUGCUCUCCAUAUGGUUGGAUCAAUUCCCCACUACACCAGCAAUGCUUUCAUGUCCUGACUUUGCCACAUCCCCUCCAAUAUUCAUUACAUUCCCUUACUGUAAUAUUAGCCAAUCUGUGUAGCCUCCAUUUUCAAGAGGAGACACAUUCUCAUUUAUACAUGGCAUCAGAGUGACCACAUUAUUGGAUAGAUUCAAACUUUGAAACACCAGGCAGUGUCACCUAUUAGUUGUUCGGAAAUGCAGAGGUACUGCUUACUCAUAUGACAAAAAGAGUUCCCAGUACUGAUGUUAGUCUAAACCCUAUACCAGGAAUGCAAGUUGAAAUGUUCCAUUUAGACUAUCAGUCUUGGCCAUUAAAUUUUGUAAGUGUGCUAGGCAAAAUGGAGAAUCCUCUUCCUAGUGCCGGAAUCUCCUAAACUGUGAAUUUCUCUAUAACUGUUCUUUCAAAAGUAACUUGGAAAUAAUGCUGAACUUUCAAAUCGUCAGAAGAACCCAAGUCCUUACCCAUAAUUUCACCUUCAAAACAAGUUUGAACUUCAAAUACGCUUCAUGAUUUCUUUCCUAACGUCUUCUGAUUCGACUUUGAGACAACCCAGCACUCUGGAAUCUUUGCUGCAACUUCUCCAAUGGACAGAUGUUCCUUUCCAUCCUCUUAACAAGGCUCCAUCAUUUCUUUCCUAACAUCUUCUGAUUCGACUUUGAGACAACCCAGCACUCUGGAAUCUUUGCUGUGACUUCUCCAAUGGACAGAUGUUCUGUUCCAUCCUCCUAAUGAGGUUUCCAUGCAAAAAUAUCGGAAUAAGUGGUUGUUGGCAAGCAAACCAUGUGAUGGUGUCCCUGUGAUGUUCAGGUGGCUCAGAAGAUGUAUUUGGUUCAAGAUUGGAGGGGGAGUGGCAGACCUCUACUUUGGCCAGUGAGGUGAGUGGCUGUUGCAGUUGAGCUGUUCCUCAGCUGCAGCCCCACCUUUCACUGCUUCUACUCACUCUUCUUUACCCUUUGAAUCAGAUGGCCAAAGAGAAACACCCCUUCCAUUAUGCUGCAGAUGCCAAGAACCAGCCCCAUGGCCUGGGCGCAAACCUCCUGCCCAAACCCCUUGUUUCUGGGUCCUUUCCUCAGUGCUGUCAAAUGAUAGCUAAUCCGCAGCAUGAAGGCAUGCUGUCUUGCUGUCCUUCCAAGGAGCAGCCUUUGCACCCAUGUUGUUCCACCUCGGCUGCCUCCUGACCACAUUCAACAUGACUUUCCAAAUCAAUAAAAUGUCUCUUUUUCUUUUGAA